rnacentral:lncRNA from 1 species
AGUGAAGGGAAAGCUCCGUACCUAAUGCUCCUUUCCCUGAUGAAGGCUCUGAUUGAGUUUGCCGGGGGAACGCUCCACUACCACUCUCAUGUGACAGAAGUGGCUCCUUUUGGCACUGCUAAGAUAAACCACCACUGGGAGAAGUGACAGAGUGGGAUUGUUUCAAGGAGUCCAGCUGCAGCACAAGAGUAUAAAGGGCCGCCCAGAUUCACUUACCGACAGCCACUCCCUUUCUGCCAUGGAGGAGUGAACAGUGAGCAGUACAGAGCUGAGUCCUCUCCCCCAGGUUUGGUUAACACUUCCUCCGCUGCAAUCCAGGCUGAAUUCUGCCUCAACAAGGAGGCAGAUGCUGUAGCAGAAUAUUAUUGUCUAAGGUCCUGCCAAACAUGAUUUGCCUGGAAUUAGACGUAAAUAUGUCCUCUGUUCAUUAGGAGGUGUCUUACUGCCUUGAAAAAAUCCUUCUUCUAUAUGGAGUUUGCUGUCUGUUUGCUUUAAUCCCACAGUGGUGCACUCUGUUCCUCUUUGCUCCCUUUUUACACACCUCUUUCUCAUUAGCAGCUGAGGAAGGUCUCAUCCAUGGCAUACUACUAAUUUUCUCUCCUUGCUUUGGUGCUUUCUGUCCUGACACUGCCAGAAGUAAUUUCAUUCAGUGAAAGAUGAUAAUCUAUAGUAAGGUAUGAGCACU